rnacentral:rRNA from 1 species
UGGGGAAUAUUGCACGAUGGGCGAAAGCCUGAUGCAGCAACGCCGCGUGAGUGAUGAAGGCCUUCGGGUUGUAAAGCUCUGUCUUUUGGGACGAUAAUGACGGUACCAAAGGAGGAAGCCACGGCUAACUACGUGCCAGCAGCCGCGGUAAUACGUAGGUGGCAAGCGUUGUCCGGAUUUACUGGGCGUAAAGGAUGCGUAGGCGGAUUUUUAAGUGAGAUGUGAAAACCCUAAGCUUAACUUGGGGACUGCAUUUCAUACUGGAAAUCUAGAGUGCGGGAGAGGAGAAUGGAAUUCCUAGUGUAGCGGUGAAAUGCGUAGAGAUUAGGAAGAACACCAGUGGCGAAGGCGAUUCUCUGGACCGUAACUGACGCUGAGGCAUGAAAGCGUGGGUAGCAAACAGGAUUAGAUACCCUGGUAGUCCACGCCGUAAACGAUGAGUACUAGGUGUAGGAGGUAUCGACCCCUUCUGUGCCGCAGUUAACACAAUAAGUACUCCGCCUGGGAAGUACGAUCGCAAGAUUAAAACUCAAAGGAAUUGACGGGGUCAUAGCUGUUUUCCU